AAGGCGCAACUCACAGUAUGCAAAGCGUAAGUGACCGAUUUAAAAAUAAAAGUUAUUUUGGAUACUCGACUUGAAACGGACUGGUGACUUUGAAUUGAAGUCUCCCGCGUGAUGAAAUGGUGAAAACCUGCAACUUCAGCUUGAUCUUCACUUGGAUUAAAUUCUGUCAUCUGGACUAA
ensembl:lncRNA